rnacentral:rRNA from 1 species
GGAACGUGCCCUUCACUGCGGAAUAGCCACUGGAAACGGUGAGUAAUACCGCAUACGCCCUUCGGGGGAAAGAUUUAUCGGUGAAGGAUCGGCCCGCGUUAGAUUAGAUAGUUGGUGGGGUAACGGCCUACCAAGUCUACGAUCUAUAGCUGGUUUUAGAGGAUGAUCAGCAACACUGGGACUGAGACACGGCCCAGACUCCUACGGGAGGCAGCAGUGGGGAAUAUUGCGCAAUGGGCGAAAGCCUGACGCAGCCAUGCCGCGUGUGUGAAGAAGGCCUUCGGGUUGUAAAGCACUUUCAAUAGGGAGGAAAGGUUGUAGCUUAAUACGUUGCAACUGUGACGUUACCUAUAGAAGAAGCACCGGCUAACUCCGUGCCAGCAGCCGCGGUAAUACG